UACAGAGGUGGCAAGCGUUGUUCGGAAUUACUGGGCGUAAAGGGCGCGUAGGCGGCCUUUUAAGUCGGACGUGAAAGCCCCAGGCUUAACCUGGGAACUGCGUCCGAUACUGGGAGGCUUGGAUUCGGGAGAGGGAUGUGGAAUUCCAGGUGUAGCGGUGAAAUGCGUAGAUAUCUGGAGGAACACCGGUGGCGAAGGCGGCAUCCUGGACCGAGAUCGACGCUGAGGCGCGAAAGCUAGGGGAGCAAACGGG
rnacentral:rRNA from 1 species